UACAGAGGUCUCAAGCGUUGUUCGGAUUCACUGGGUUUAAAGGGUGCGUAGGUGGGCUAGUAAGUCCGUGGUGAAAUCUCUGAGCUUAACUCGGAAACUGCCGUGGAUAUUAUUAGUCUUGAAUGUUGUGGAGGUAAGCGGAAUAUGUCAUGUAGCGGUGAAAUGCUUAGAUAUGACAUAGAACACCGAUAGCGAAGGCAGCUUGCUACACAAUUAUUGACACUGAGGCACGAAAGCGUGGGGAUCAAACAGG
rnacentral:rRNA from 1 species